UUCAGAACAACUCGGGUUCCCACCCAGGUCCUGCCACCCCAGAACGGCGUGCACAGGCCACUGCUCUGAGCCUGUCUCUUCACCUGCAAAGUGGGGGUGGUGACAACUCCCUCCUUCUUGCUGAGAAGAUUUAAUGCCAUGAAGUCUGCACCGUGCUCACCUGCUACCACCGAGACAGGUACACAGCAGGCAGUGAAGGAUGGUGACUUGUUGUUUUCCAGACUCUUAUUUUUAGAAAACUUUCUCAUGCAUGCACUGCUUAACAUCAAAACAAUUUCUCAACCAAUGACUCACUGAAUUCCUUAACACCCCCAACCCACUCCACCCCACGAGGAAGCCGGCUGAGACCCUGAAGCCCACAGAGGGAGGAUGGCGUGCCCCCAGAGGCCCACCUGUUGGGGACAGAUCAAAGAUUGGAACCCCAGCUGAAGGGGCCUUUCGUUCAAAGUCUGCUUUAUAGAUUAGCUCUCCAAGUGACAGGGGAAUCUAGAAAAUAGGUCAUCUCUGGGCUUCGAGGUCCAGACUAGACACCAUGCCUGGGUACAGCACGUUGUGAUAAUCAUCAUUAUUUACAGUCAUAAUAAUAAUAGAAGCUCCUAUUGGGUGCCACUUCCUAUGGCAGUUCCCCCGUCUGUAAAAUGCAGAUGAUAGUGGUAAGUUCACAUUGUGGGAUUGUUGGUGAGGAGGGGUUAAUAUUUGUAAAGCCUGUAGAACAGGGCUCGGCAUACAGCAAACAUUACGUCAUUGAGAACAUUGAAAAUACAGAAGUGUCGUCUGCUAAAGGCUUAAGAUCGCCUCACGUUCUCCUCAGGACACGCCCACAGGAGGCUACCAUUACGUCCAUUUUGCAGGUGGGGAAACUGAGAGCUCAGGGAUGCAUGGGGAGGGCAGGCAUGUUACUCUCCCAAGGACGGGGAGGGCGAGCUCUGAGCGCAUGCAAGUGGGGAGUGCAACCCAGGGCCAUCUGCCUCCAGAUCUAUGGGGCUCCCAUCUGUCCCUCCUCCACUUCUGCAGGUCCCCAGGGGGGAGGCAGGAUGCAGCACGCUCUGGGGAAGGUAUUUCCAGAGGGUGACCUGAGCCCUGGGCCAGGCAGAGGGUUAUUAAUAGUGCCCUGGCUGGGGAGGAUGGCUCCGGGGAAGGGAGUGGGAGGGCGGAGCUGAGCCAGCGUGGGGAGGAGAGACUGCCCAGAGAGGCUGGCUGAACUUGGCUGCCAGGGCCCCUCCCAGCCCCCUGGAGCACAGCUGUUCCCUCAGCGGAUUCUCUGGGGCUGGUUCAUCACCUCGGAAUACUCCUGUGACAGGAGCCACUUGCAAAACCCGCCUCCAGCCCCCAGCAGCAAUAAAUAGAAAGCUCCCAGCCCAGGAGAAGCGAGAAGUUUCUAGGCCUGCCUCCCUGGGUUUAUUAAGCUCCUGGCUCCUCUUUAGACCUCAGCGGCUCUGGCUGCCAGCCUGUGUGGCCUGCGAGGACAGAGACUGGCUGAUCCCUGGUGAGGCAGUACGGAUAAGGGCCCUCUGGGAUUCUGCUGGAUCAGCGGGGGGUCGCCUUUGGUGGCUGGAGUGUCUCUGGGGCCCAGGACCCCAGCCUGGUGUGUGCCUCCGUCCCUGGCAGUGGAUGGUUCAGCAUUUUCUGAAGCUGAAGAAUAAGUUUGGAAGACCAGCCCACCCACAUCAGCUUGCUGUGUGACCUUGGGCAGGUGGCUGUGGUUCUCUGAGCCUCCACUUCCCCUCCAGCUCAGCGGCCACCAUGGCUGAUGGUCAGAUGCCCUUCCCCUACACGGGCCGCCUGCGCCGGGACCCCUUCCGAGACUCGCCCCUCUCCUCCCGCCUGCUGGAUGAUGGCUUUGGCAUGGACCCCUUCCACGACAAUUUGACUGCCUCUUGGCAUGACUGGGGCCUGCCUCCAUUCUCCUCGGCCUGGCCGGGGACCCUGAGGUCGGGCAUGGUGCCCCGGGGGCCCACCGCCACGGCCAGGUUUGGGGUACCUGCUGAGGGCAGGACCCCCCCACCGUUCCCUGGGGAGCCCUGGAAAGUGUGUGUCAACGUGCACAGCUUCAAGCCGGAGGAGCUGAUGGUGAAGACCAAGGACGGAUACGUGGAGGUGUCUGGCAAACACGAGGAGAAGCAGCAAGAAGGCGGCAUUGUUUCCAAGAACUUCACAAAGAAAAUCCAGUAAGUGACCUGGCAGUGUGGAUUUCAGGGUGGGAGUGGAGGAGACGGGGGUGCCUGGGACCCGAGAUCUGGGGUCUCUCCCUCCUGGGCAUCUCUCCUGUGAGACAUGGCCCAGGGCAGGGACUUGAACCCUCAUACCUGAAGGGAAGAAAGUGUCACAGCAAACCUGCAACAGGGUCCCAGAAAGGGGGGCCGCAUAGAUUCUCCCGUCUUGCCUGCUCAGUGCCCUGUGAGGUCGGUAUCAACAAUCCCGUUUUGUAGAUGAAGAACCCGAGAAUAAGAGAGGUGAAAUGACUUGUCCACAGUUCCACGAAAAUUGGGGCACUCCCCUACCCACGUGGUAUGGCUGAGGGAGGAUCUCCAUCACGGUCAAGAAAGACCCUCCCCCGAUGCCCCAAAGGCCCAGUAGAAUCUUCCUUGGGGAGGCUGCUCGCCCUAACUCUCCCACAGCCAGCAGAGUGCGCCUUCGCUGGAGCAUCCACAGGAAUUAAACUGGAAGGUGUCCUGCCGGCUCCGCUUACCACCUGGAGGGGUCCUGAGGCUGAGAUUGGGAUGAAGGAAGGGCAGGUUUUGCUGAGGGGAGUGAGAAGGGCUGAGCCUGGGAAAACCACGUGAGCAGCCAGAAGAGCGCCAGGCUGAGCCACUGAAUCAAAGCCACACAGAGGCCCUGAUGGCAAUGCCUGUGGGGAGAAGAGACUCACAGCGGGGUGCUGAUGGCUAGAUGCUUCAGGGACAUCUUCUCCCUAAUCAGCGUCACUCCAUCACGUGCUCUUCUGGCUCCAAAGCCUUUUCCCCAGUCAUCAUUGCAUCCAGUCUUGGCAGCGAAGCUGUUCAGGGGAGGAGAGAUUGUACCCUCCUGCUGUUAUGGGGAAACGAAGUCUUCCAGAGGUGAACGGACAUACUCGAGGUCCUUACAUCUGGAAUUUAGAACAGCCCCAAACGGAUCCUUCAACUCUGAGUUUAAUGCUCCUUCCUCAAGCAAGGAAUGCCCUUUCCUCGUCUGUAUGAGAUGUGUGCUGAUUCUGGCCUUGCAGAGUUACCAAGUGAAAAUGAGAUGAGAUCAUGGCACAAUGAUCCUCACACAGCAGGUCUUCAUACGUGGCCGUUUGUUAUUACUAUUAUUGUUGCGGUUCUUGAAUCUUUGCUCCACUCCUAGCCCUGGCAAAAAAUGUCCUGUGUCUGGAGAGACAGGGCUAGCUGAAUUCUGAGGCUUCUUUCAGCUUUGGGAUUCUGCAGUCCUGUCUCUCCCCCCACGUGCCUGCUCCUGACCCGCCUGGCGCCUCUGGAGUUCUUGGAAGCCUCAGGACACUUCCUGAUAAGGGAAAGGCCAACAGCUUCUCUUACGCUCGCUGGCUCACGCGCCGUCCCCAAGACCCACACCUCUCCCUGGUCCAGCAGCCAGAUCAAACAUCGCUGAGAGCAGAGAGAAAGGGAAAAGGGAGGAGGAGGGAGCCAAUGUUUCUUUCAAGAGACUCAUAGAAGGUCUCAGGUUGGAGUCACAGGCAGGGCAAAGCUGUGGAGGCGACUGAGCUGAAAAAGAAGUCAGCGAAUUAAUCAUCUUAAGAAGACGGCCAUUUUGUGGAUUUCGCUGUCUCUGAGACCUCUGGGAAAACAGCUUGCUGGGAGUUGCUUGACCAGAUAGAAAUGCCUACAGCUGCUCAAGGUAGGGCUGCAGUUGAGCUCAAUAUGGGGCCCUCGCUACAAUAUGGGACUCGCCAUUGCCCUGAGCUCCCCAGGUGCCCUCCCUAGUCGACCUAGCCAUCCUGACCCUGUCCCCAGGACCCUCCAAACCGCCCCAUGUUCCAGCUAUUAAAGGGUCCCCAGAACCCUCCUCCAUAACUAGAUCAGGUAUCUAUCCCUUCUGGCUGGCCAAUGUCCAGUUGUGCCAGUUGCUAAAUAUUUUGAAUUUCACCCCUGGGUGUAGGGAGUCCGGGCUCCAUGAUAGAGAGAGUGGGUAACUCAGAGCAAUUUGCUGAACUGCUCUGAGCUUCUGUUCCCGCAUUCCCUCACAGAUGGAUCUGUGAUGGGGAAUGAGAGGAUGUGUGUAAAGCGUUUAGCACGGGGUACAGACUCAGCGCUCAGUCCAUGGGAACUAAUAUUAUUAAAAGAUUGCAAGGCUGGGAUCACACAAGAGCAGGUGGGACCUCCUGGGCCCUCCUGGCUCUGCCCAGACUUCAGACACCGAGGAGCAGGACGGGAGUUUGGGAUGGCCCUGGCCCAAUCUUAGGAGGCCUCAUCGCCUCUCCCAGGAAAAGCUCAGGUCAUCAGAGGACAGGGAAGCUCCUUCAACCAGCUGAGAUCCUUGGAGAUUUCCAGCCAGGCAGGAUGCUACAGCUGUUGGCCUUAGCCCAACACACCCAUCCCCGUGUGAAAGGCCCCAUCUUGCCUGGAUGAGGGGACGGGGAGAGGUCUUGGAAUUUGCCUAUCAGACUGGGGGCAGGGCGAGGACUGCAGAUGAGAUCUUUCCCACAUCCAAGCUGGAUGAGAGGACAGGAAGCAGGGGACACAGGAAGUCAUCCAUGGAGGAUGCUCAGAGCCAAAGCAAACUUCAGUCUCUUUGCUCCACAUUUUCCCACGUAUCUGUUCUGCCUCUUAUCGUUAUCUACGAUGUGUCAAGAGCCAUGUGGAGAGGUUUGUAGGUUUAAUCGUAUUUCAUCUUUAGAGGAAUCCUAUGGAGUGGGUAUGAUUACGCCCAUCUAGUGGGUGAGGAAACUGAAGCUCAGUGGGAUGGUGGGACUCAACUAAGGUCACACAGGAAGGAGCAGAUCUGAGAUUGGAGCACAGGUGUCCCUAACUUGAACUUCCCCUACUCGGUUAGGGCAGACUGAAGGACAGUUAUUGGCAUACGUCUUCACUAUUUUUUGCCACAUAUGCUAAUGUUCCCAUACUAUUAUUUGCUUAUGCCUUGUUUUUUUCCGAUCAAUUCACUUUUGAUACAGUGAAAUUCUCAUCGCUAACAUGUUCACCGAAGAAGGCAAUCAUAACAAAAUCCAAUGAAAGCAAAAUGUGGUGAAAUAACUAGAUGAUGUUGCCUGCCGAAGGGUCUAAGACUUACAUCUGCUGUCUCUUUGUUAAAAAGAGAAAAUAGCAAGAGACAGAGGCUGCAGGUGCUCAAGGCUUGUUAACCCUUCGCUGAGACCUUUGUUUAGAUGUAAACAGAAGGACUGAAAGAGAAUUGGGGAGGAAUAACUUUCCCACCACGUCGAUUCAACAUACAGGUUACCUGGUGAGGGACCUUGAACAAGUCUAUUCCCAACUCCGGGCCUCAGUUUCCCCAUGUGUAAUAUGAGAGCAUUGUCCUGGACAAUCGAGAAGAUCCUUUUGGGCUCUGAUGUCCUAUGGUUCAAUGAUGGCACAGCUUGUGCUAAAAUAUUCCCAGCUGUCAAGGUGCCCACUUGGCGAGCCAAUGCCUGCAAUGACAAUGCAGAAGCUGACACUUAUUGAGCGCUUACUGUGUGCCAGGCACCAUUCUAAGUCCUUUUCUUUCAUUAUCUCACAUAAUUCUCACACCACCCUAAGAGGUAGAUGCUAUUAUUACCUCUUUUCUUACAAGGAAAUAGAUUCAGAGAGGUGAAAUCACUAGCCCAAGGUCACACAGUCGGGAAGAGCCGGAAUCUGGAUCGAGGUCUCCCUGCCUGCCAAGUCCAGGCUGUGGACCAUGCCUACCCUGUCACAUUGUACCUGGUCCCCACUGGGUUGGCGUGCGAAUGGUUCAACAGAGUCAGCCCAUCCCCCAGCAGAGGGAGGGAGGUCCAAAAUCUUGCCCUUGUCUCUGCUCCAGGAGCUUGACUUGGCAGGUGUUCAAAUUCUCUCUUUCUUCCGUCCUUGCCCGCAGCCCCCUUGUUAUUCUCUGUGGCUCCAAUUUGGCAGGAGUCCCUUGGGUAGAUGGGGCUCAUGCGCCUACGAGCACAGGAGCAAAAGCCUCCCAGCCCCUCCAGGAAGGGUCCUGCCCAUGACGAGGAACGGGCUGACCUCAUUUCUUGCUUCUUUCAUCAAGACCCCUGCAUUUACAACAGGCAGAGCCAGCCUGGCCAGGAAAGAUCGUGGUGAUAGAACCGCCUGGCUUCCCCUCAUGGUCCUGUGUUCAACAGUCUGGUGCCGGGGGAGGCCGCAGAGCAUCACAAUCAGCUGAGUUUGGAGACCCCGAGUCCAAUUCCACUCCCAUCUGCCGCUUACCAGCUGGGGGGCCUUGGGCGAAUCAGUUCACUUCUCUGACCUCAAUUUCCUCAUCUGUAAAUUGGGGAUAGGCAUAGCACUUGCCUGGUGGGGUUACUGUUAACAACUGUACGAGAGGAUUCAGGCGAAGUCCCUGGUACAUAGAAAGUUCUCAGCAGGUCAUAGUUUUCAUAAUUUUUUAUUGAUAAUGGGGCCAUUAGCAUGCUCUCACAAUUCCAAUAAUUUGUUGCAGAAACCAUGUCCCAGAUAGUCUCGUUUGCUCAAAACAAUCCAAAAGUCAUAAAAAUAGCUUCAGAACCGGAACCAGAUUUGGGUUCAGAAGUCCUGUCUUUGGUGCCCUCUCUCCCACUGAGUCUGUCGUUGGAUUCCCCAAGGCUCUGUCAGAUGUCCUAUGCAAUGGGCAUAUUAAUUUCUACCUACUAACCAUUCUAGGGUCUCUAUAAAGCUCUAACCAGGUAAUGCCUAUAAAUGUAUUUUGGGAACAAAACAAUUAUGACCUGCUAAGACCUACUUACGAUGUGGCCCAAAUCGAGGGUCAUUCUAAGCAUCGUAGAGUAUGCUGCCAUCUGACGUCUAGCCAUGUGGCCAGCCUGACCCCCUUUAUCUGCCAAGUUGUCUAUUCCACCAUUAACUCUACCAGCAAUGCUUUUUGUAGCAAAGCCCUCCCAGCAGGCACAUGGUCAAUGAAAAUGUGUCACCUGUUGUGAGUGACACCUGAUUUGUGCUCUAUAAAGGAGUGGUCGUGGCGGUCAUUUCCGCCAGCAGCUGGCCAGUUGUGGGUGCUAAAGUGGAGACCUCAACCAUUGACCAAAUAUCUGGACCACAGCUCCCUUUUAAGUUACCAUUGGAGCAGCGUUUUACCAUUCGUAAAGCGUGUUCAGAGUCUUUUUCUCACUCUGAGCUUCAAAUACUGUGCAAAUUUAAUGUUAUGCUCACCAUUUUGCAGAUGAGGAAACAAGCUCAGAGCAACUGAGUGGCCUUCCUAAGAUCACACAGCUAGAAAGGGGCAGGGCCAGAAUUCAAACCCAGCAUUGUUUGCCCCGAAAGAUGAAGCUCUUCUCAACAACAUUUUCUUUCGAAUGAAUAAAAGAAUGUUUAAGCUCUAUUAAAAUAAUAAAUGAAUAAAAUCUUGUGCUUCCUCUAGGCUUCCUGCAGAGGUGGAUCCUGUGACAGUAUUUGCCUCGCUUUCCCCAGAGGGCCUGCUGAUCAUCGAAGCUCCCCAGGUCCCCCCUUACUCACCAUUUGGAGAAAGCAGUUUCAACAACGAGCUUCCCCAAGACAGCCAGGAAGUCACCUGUACCUGAGACCCCAGUCAUGGCCCAUCCUUGUUCCCUCCCCAACCCCAGGGCUUCUCUGAUUCCAGGGUACAUUACUGUAGCUGAACUCAUAGAUUUAGCGCAACUAAGAUGUUGGGGGUGGGAGUGGAUGGACCACAGAGUCCCUGGAUAGUGUAGUAGUAGGUUUUUCCACAAGAGGGCGCAAUUGGCGAGUCAUGCUCAGUUGCGCAAAAUGCUGGGAGUUUUUUUUUUUUUUCUUUACCUUUUCUGUCUUGAUGAAAAUGUUGCACAUUCUAAAGUUGCCAAACCAAUAUAAUGGGACAUAACAUUUCACAUUGCAUCUUACCUUGCAGCUGAUGCAAGGGUUGCUUUUCUCUGGGGACCUCCCCAUCACCCAGAUUCCUAUUCUGGGCUCUCAAUUUCCCUGCCUGCCCUGUGGUUUGGGUGAAGGAGCCCAUUAGCUCACUCCAUUGUGUUUCUGCAGCCCUGGCCUAAGAAGGGUUAUAGAGAGGUCUUACAUCCCCAUAUGGGAUUUAUCCAACAGCCACAUGAAAAUAAACAGUGCCUUCUGCCCUCCACCCAGGCAUUUACAGCAUGUUCCCAAGCUGGCACUCCCCGGGGACUCUGGAAGCCCCUCAGUUUAUUCUCUGGCUAAAGCCCCCCCUUUCUUGUGUCUCCUAUGUCCAAGUUGGGACUUUUAGAGAGGGCUGUCUCCAGACAGCUCCAGCUGGAACCAAGCAAAGGCCAGACAGCCUGGCAGGCAGGCUAGUGGUAUUGUCUAUAUGGGUGGGACGUGUGUGUCAUUGUUAUUUGAAUUGUGCUGUUGUUUAGGGGAAAAUAACAGUAAAUGAUAAUAAUAAUAAAGGAGCUGAUGUUCUUAGCCUGGUGUGCUUCUUUUGAUGAGGGGCUAAAUGCUAUACCACUUAGAUAUGCAAUGUCAGUUAGGAAUGCUUGUGGCUACAAAUUAUAAUGCCCAAUGAGUAGUGGCUUAAAUGACACAAACAUCUAACUUUAUAAGAAGUUCAGGUAUGAGUGAUUUCAGAGUUACUUUUUCAGAAGGUACGUCACCAAGAAUCCAGAGUAUUUCCAUCUUUUUCCUCUGCCAUCUCUAAAAAGUCCACUAGGUCUAUCCUCGCAUUUGUAAGAUGGCUGCAGCAGCCCCAGGCAUCUCAUCCUCGGGUGACAAGGUACAGGAAGAGAAGGCAAGGAUAAAAAAAAAAGCCUUCUCAUCUGGCCUCCUCUUUUAUCAGCACUCAAGAUCUUUUCCAGAAGCUCUCUCUCAGCAGAUUUCUUCUUUUAUUUCAUUGACCCAACUUGGGUCACACGCCUAGCCUGAAGCCAGUCCCUGGCAAAGUGAAAGUGAUGGCCAUAAUGGGCUUAGAUCCAGAUUGAUUUGUCCUCUGAGGCCAGGAACAUUGCUGUGUGAAAAAGCAAGGUUCUGUUAAGAAGGACAGGGGUGUAGCAGCUGUGAGCGCCAUCAACAGUGUAACGGCGGCUGCAGGCUGACGCUGCCAGGAGCGCAGAACCUGGAACACAGGGUGGCAGGGAGCAAGGCUGCUGGCAUAGUGCACCAGUUGGGACUGUUUCUGGGGUAAGGGUGAAGAAACUCAACUCAAACUGAUGGACGCGAGAAGGGGUAUUUAUUGGUAUACAUAGCUGAGAAGUCCAGGAUAAAACCCGCUUUCAGGGCUCCAGUGAUGUCAACAGAACUCAGUUUCUCUCUCUCUCUUGGUCCUGCAGAGUCGGCUUCACUCCCAGUCUCCCUGUUGCCUCCCGGCCCUCCCCGUCCCCAGCCCUCCAUGCCCCCGUGUCCUCCCUCUGUGGUCGUGAGACGGCUACAGUCACUAUUCCCUCUCACAUUCCACUCCCCAGGGAGAAAAGCCAUCUUUUCCUAUAGUUUCUGCCCUAUCCCUGAGAGUCAUUCUUAUUGGAUGGGCUUCCGUCACAUGACCAUCCUGAGCUAAGCAGGGACCACGAAAUCAGAGCUUUGAUUGGCCAGGCCUGGGUCACAUGCUCUAUCCCUGGAGCCAAUCCCAAUGAAUCCCCACAACACCCGGAAGUAGAUGUUCGUUUUAUAAGGAAGAAGCUGAAGCUAAGUGGUUUGGGUAGGUCACGUGGUGACAGCAGAACUCAAACCCGGAUGUUUGCUUUUGGAAGGGUUAAUGAGGAGCUGCUGGGCUGGUUUUCAAGAGCACCUCCAAACUCCAGAUGACCGGAGAAAUCACUAUUUCCUGAGCACCUACUCGGUCCAUCCUGUGCUAGGUGCCAAGGAUACAGAGACCAAUGAACCACAAUUCCUGCCCCAAGGAGCUCACAGACCAGUGACAGAGACAGGCAGAUAAAAGAAUGCCUGGCUCCCUUUAAAUCCUCACUGUGUGACAGACACCAUGCUAAGUGCUUUAUUAUAGUAGAUUUACUGACACUACAAUCCUAUGAGAUAGGUCCAGCUGUUACCUCCGUUUUACAGAUAGGGAAACUGAGGCAUGGAAAGGUUACGUGCACUGCCCCCAAAUCACACAUCUGGUAAGCCCCAGGCCCAGGACCUUCACUAGUACUCUUACCCUGUUCUGCCCUUCUCCCAACAAAAUAAAAUGUAAGCGUGCCCUAAGUGAGUCGUCCAGCUUGUAGGAAGAGCAGAGAGGUGAUAUUUCAAGUUGGGGCUUUGCAGGGAGGGUGGGAGUCAGAGGUGGCUUACAGAGUCACUCCUGUCGGACUUGAAGAUGGGCAGGUUGUAGGAUUUGAGCAAGCAGGGGUGGGGAUGGGGAGGUGCCUCACAGGCUGAAGAAAACACCUGAGCCAAGGAGAAAGGUAUGUUCCUUUGAAAAUGCUUUGAUGGUUCCCCAUUGUUCAAAGGAUCAAGUCCAAGCUUCUCUGCAAGACUUAGAAGGCGUUAUGGGAUCCAUCUGGUUACCUCUCUGCACCCCAGCCCCAAGCCCCUCCCCUCCCCUCCAGCCCCACCUAACUUCCGUCUCUUCUUCCAGCCAGCUCUCUCUUGCUACCAGAACCUUGAAUACACUGCUCUCUCUCUCCAAGGUUGACUGACCCACCCUCUGCACGGGCUAAUUUUUUUCUCCCAGUGGCUUAAGCAACAAGUUUCUUUCUUUCUUUCUUCUUUCUUAAAAUUAUUUUAUUGAGGUUGUGUUGGCUUAUAACAUUGUGUGAAUUUCAGGUGUACCUUAUUAUAUUUUGGCUUCUGUGUAGACUGAAUCAUGUUCACCACCAAAAAUCCAGUUUCUGUCUGUCAUACAUAUGUGCCCCUUUACCCCUUUCACCCUCCCUCCCACCCCUUCCUCUCUGAUAACCAUCAAUCUAUUCUCCUUAUCUAUGUGUUUGUUUACCUUCCACAUAUGAGUGAAAUCAUACAGUAUUUGUCUUUUUCCAUCUGAGUUAUUUCACUUAGCAUAAUACCCUCAAGGUCCAUCCAUGUUGUUGCAAAUGGCAUGAUUUUGUCUAUUUUAUGGCUGAGUAGUAUUCCAUUGUGUAUAUAUACCACAUCUUUUUUUCUCCAUUCAUUCGUUGAUGGGCACUUGGGUUGCUUCCAUGUCUAGGCUAUUGUGAAUAAUGCUGCAAUGAACAUAGGGGUGCGUAUAUCUUUUUGAAUUAUUGGUUUCAUAUUCUUUGGAUAAAUACCCAGUAGUGGAAUAGCUGGAUCAUAUGGUAUUUCUAUUUUGAAUUUUUUGUGAAAUCUCCAUGGUGUUUUCCAUAAUAGCUACACCAGUUUGCAUUGCCACCAGCAGUAUAGGAGGGCUCCCUCUUCUCUACAUCCUCGCCAACAUUUAUUUCUUAUCUUGUUAAUUAUAGUCUUCACUGGCUAAUUCUUUAGACUGCCCCUGGCCAGAGCCACUUCUUGCUUACCCCUGUCCCAACAAACACACCAUAUAACAGCUUUGGUGUUUGUGUAGCAGAAUAAAUAGUAAUAGCAAUCAUAAAAACCCAAACUACCCUAGCUGCUCUGCUUUCAAGGACAGGAUGGGGAAUCAUUCAAAUAAAGGAGAAAAUCCCUACUCAUUGGAUAUUUGUUCAACAAAUAUUUACCGGGCACUGACCAUGUUCAAGGCACUGUGCUGGGUGGCAGGUUACCAUUUCUCUCCACUUUGAGAGCCUGGAGAGAAAAGGAGGGAAGCGAGGCUAUUUCCAUGUUCUCCAGUUCUGGCUGAUGAAUGGUGAGACCCCGAGCGGGUAGAGUGGAAAGCUCACCUAUGAGGUGGUACCCAGGCCAAGGGCAUGAAGGACCACACAGAUUUGCCCAAGCAAGUGAGCAGGGUCUCUCAAGCAAGGGGGCCUGGUAAUGUGGUGGGGGCCUGGACUAUAGCGAGAGGUGACCAGUGAGGGAUGCCAGGUGGUGGCUGGACCUGGAACCUAAAAAUGCUGCACAAUAUUCAGUUUUUAAUUCUUUGCCUUGUGAUAUAAAAUGUGCCAAUCCAACCUUUAGGGAAGUCUUACAUACCCACAGAUGCUUUGUGUGGGUGGUCUUGGGGGCGGUGGUGGAUCAAGGUUGGGGACAAGCCAGAGCGAAGUGAAUGGUGAGGAGAAUUCUCCACAGGCAGCACCUGAAGUGAGAAGGGACUAUGGGAAUGGACCUCCUGAAACAUCGCUGAUCUCUUGGGCAGGGCACUGGAGAGGUGUGACUCAGUUUUAUUGAAAUAUCUCAAGAGCACGGCUUCACCAGAUACCUAGACUGUCCUCCUGGUGGACUGUAGGUCUCCUGAAAGCAGAGACCGCAUCCUGUUGGUUUCCGCUGUGUCUCUAAAUCCUAACACAGUGCCUGCUGCAUAGGAGGUAUUUCAUAUUCGCCAGAUGCAUGGGUGAAUGCCUUGAAUAAAUAAAAUCCAAACUCUUUUCCACCUCCUUCCAAGUCCUGCAUGAUCUGGCCCCUGUCACCUCCCAAAUUCAUGUCUCACAGCUCCCUCUCAUGUUCACUACACACAGGCCUCCUUCUGUCGCUCAAACACACUGUGCCCAUGCUCACCCCAGGGCCUUUGCACAUUCCAUUCCUUUGGUCAUGAACACUCUGCCCCAGCUCAUUGCCUGGCUGCCUCCUUCUUAUCACAAUUUCCCCAGAUGUCCCCUCCAACUCCACCUUUCCAGAGAGGCCUUACAAUAGCUGCCAUCCAAUCACUGACUAUUACAUACAUCACUGCUUUAUUUCCUCCAAAGCGAUUGCGUUUGCUUGGUUGCAAACACACCUCCACAUUAAAAUCUAAGCUGCCCUCCACACACCACAUACUUAGACACACCCUAGAAUGUCAACUCCGAAAGAGAAGGGAUGCUUUUGUGCCUUGUCCACUACUGCAUCUUUAAAGCUAAGUGCAAUAAGAAUGCAUUGAAUGAUUGGAUGAAUGAAUGAACGGUGAGUGGGGGUCACCCUGGGGAAUUAGGCCCUUUGGCAUUUGCAUGAUCUUAAGCCCCAGAGACCCGGCUCAUUUCAGUCCUGAGCAUUUCCAGCUUAAAGAUGCAAGACUUGUCAUCAGAAUAGAUGACUCGGCCCCUCCCUAGAGAUCUCAGAAUGACAACAGAAUAUUGUUCCUGAGCCUUCGCUUGGAUGAUGAUGCUGGGACAAGAGAUUCCCAGAACCUGCUUCCCCACCCCACUCCCUUGACCCAGCCCCCCAGAAAGUCUGAUCCCCAGCCCCCCUCCACCCACUUCCAACAGCCUGCCGGCCAGCGGCUGCUGAUGGUGAUCCACAGAGAUGACUUGAUAUGACCUUGAGGGAAGAAACAAAUUAAUGUGUCUUGAAAUAAAUUCCAGGAACCAGUGGCUGGCUUCUCCACACCUUCCUCUUGGCGCCUCAUGCGUCAUGCAUCAUAAUGUGAAAAUCAAUACUGUCUCCUAAAUGAGCCAACACCUGGAGCGGGCAGGGGGUGGGGCUGCUCAGAGAUCCCCUCCCACCCUAUGUCCUGGGCCUGGGAGUUGUUGGCAGGAGCGGGAGACUCUGGGCCUGCUGUGGGCUCUACUCUCUGGUGGCUGAGGGCUGGCUGAGUGCCCCUGUCUGCUGCGAGGUCAACCCACCUGACCCCCAGCUGCAAGGCUGUCCAGGGACAAGCAGAUGUGGGCUCCCUAGUGGCUCCUGAGGGAAAGGACAGGGCAGCCACAUGGAAGGGCAUUGCCGUGGCCAUUGUCCAAGGAUAACUGAGAUAUGGGGAGGGGAGGAGACUCCAAGCCCAGAUCCCCACUCCAGAAGUUCAGUGUAUAUUUGUCAGUGCAUUUCUUUGGAUUGGGCACCUAUUCAACUGCGUGUCCAGGUACGACAGUGCCAGGUGUCUAAAUGUUGAAAUACUUCAGUGCCCCUGGAUAAAUUGCACUACAGAGACUCUGAGGUGCCCCCAGUGUCCUAGCCCAUGUUAAGCAUGUCUUUAUUCUGAUGCUUUGACCACUUGGGGCCUUGCUAACCCUGGAGGGACUGCUCCUCCCAAGCUUGGCUAAUUCCUAGAGAUAGCAAAGGACUCACCUGUGAGCACACCUUUCAUAUGAAAAGCCACCCAUCCAGAACCCACAGCCCGACCACCUCCUUUAUCAACGCUUAUACUCGGAGACACUAUCCACUUGCCCUAAUCAUCCAAGGACGGGUACCAGAAACCUCGAGACAGCCCCUGGGCCACAGAGCCAGCUGAAACUAUGCAAACUAGCCUGUCCUAAGCCUGCUCACCCAGCCCCACCUGUUCCUUCCUGCAGAAACCACAAUAAAGGCUCUCACCCACGUUUUUUCCACCCCACCCCACCCUACCCGAGUUCCCUCUGCCUCCAACCGAC
ensembl:lncRNA